UCGGGAAUUUUGCGCAAUGGACGAAAGUCUGACGCAGCAACGCCGCGUGAGGGAUGACGGCCUUCGGGUUGUAAACCUCUUUUGUCAGGGAAGAUGAUGACGGUACCUGACGAAUAAGUCACGGCUAACUACGUGCCAGCAGCCGCGGUAAUACGUAGGUGACAAGCGUUGUCCGGAUUUACUGGGCGUAAAGAGCGCGCAGGCGGUCGAUCAAGUCGAGUGUGAAAGCCCCCGGCUCAACUGGGGAGGUCAUUCGAAACUGAUCGACUCGAAGGCAGGAGAGGGAAGUGGAAUUCCCGGUGUAGCGGUGAAAUGCGUAGAUACUGGGAGGAACACCGGUGGCGAAGGCGGCUACCUGGACCGGUUCUGACGCUGAUGCGCGAAAGCGUGGGGAGCAAACAGGAUUAGAUACCCCCGUAGUCCCUGAGCGGGCUGGCAAGGCGCAU
rnacentral:rRNA from 1 species